UUCUAGGAAAGUGUUGGAGAAAAUUGCGUUGAAAGAUACUAGCUUUGGUUGUACUGGGCUGAAGAAAAUGAUGGAGCAUGAACUGAGAUUUCCAUGGAUCGCUCGACUGGAUCGUCUGGACCAUAGAGCAUGGAUCGAGGACAGCAAUAAUACCAACAUUUUGUGGGUAGGCAAGACCUCCUCCCACAGAUUGUCAACCCUGUUAAAUAAGAAGCUGUUGCAACUUGCUGUGGCGGAGUAUGAGUUUCGACAGUCAACAUACAGGAAUGAGUUGGAGGAAGUUACACGGUG